rnacentral:misc_RNA from 1 species
CUGUGUCUGAUCUCUGUCAGUCUGUCCAAAAUCGAUCUCUUUUAUGUUUCAGUUCCAAUUCUGAUCUUCGAAGCUCAAACAAAACAAUGGCGAAAGGAAGAUACUCUCGCCUUCCAGCUCGAAAAUCAUCGUCGUCGACGAUCAUUCUGACUAUGCUCAUCAUGGUCACAUUCGGUAUUCUCAUACUUCUUGCCCUCGGAAUUCUCUCUGUCCCUAGCAAUUCCGGUGAUUCCUCUCGCAAAGCCAACGAUCUCAGCACCAUCGUCCGUAAUAAAGUGGACAGUGAGGGAGAUGAUGAGCCCUCGGCGGAGGUGAUCUCGUGGGAGCCUCGGGCUUUUAUCUAUCAUAAUUUUUUGGUCAGUUUUACUUUUUUUUUUUUUCCCUUUGUAUUUUCUACUUAAUUUAUGACUUGGGAUUAGCGCUUUUAGUUGAGCUUUUGAAUUCUUCUAUGUCUUGGGAUUGACAAAGCAUGCCAUGGUCAAUGCGAUUCAAUGGGAUUUCUUAUUUAGUUCACAUCAAUCAGACGGAUUUUUUUUCCCCUUCUUAUGAUUUAAUCUGCAGCUCAAUGGGCAAUCGAGAAAUUCGUCUAUUUCUUGUACUGAAAUGUCUAAACCACGAAGGUAUUUGAAAAUUAUUGGUUUCUUUUGAUUUACCUGUUUCUCUCACAGUAUAAGCUUUUUAUAAUCUCCCAAGUUUGUUUUUCGGGUUGAAAUGUUGUUGAUUAGCAUCUUUGAUCUAAGUUUAAAUAAUUUCUUAACAAAGUGAUGCCACUAAAAUUUGGUUGAUUAUUUUGGGCAGAGCAAAGAGGAAUGUGAUUACCUGAUCAAUCUUGCCAACCCUCAUAUGCAAAAGUCUACAGUUGUUGACAGUGAAUCUGGAAAGAGUAAAGAUAGCAGAGUGCGAACAAGCUCUGGCACAUUCCUUCCAAGAGGUCGUGAUAAAAAGAUCAGGGAAAUUGAGAAAAGGAUUGCUGAUUUCACCUUCAUGCCUGUAGGUAUGCAGUUUAAGAUCCAUUUCUCUGAUUUUUUUAACUGCAGACAGUUGUUUUCCCAAUAAAAUUUCCUUCCGUUUUUCUGUACUUCCUCUCUCCUACCUACUCCCACUCUUUUUUCUUUUUGGCGCUUAUAAGGUUGUUUGUUUAUGCCUUGCAUCAAUGGCACUUUUUGGAUGGUAAGAGAUUUAGGAAUUGUUGAAGUGCAUAAGUGCAAUCUUGUAAACUGACAAAAGUGACAAGGUGAAUGUGACCUUGUAGAAAUGAGGUAGUUAUAUGUGCUGCUAAUUGUAACAUUAUUUGCUCAUCUUUGGAGCAGUUGGGAGAAAAAGUCAGAUUUUUCAGUAUCCACAAUAAGAGCAAUGCAUCACUGCUCUCUCCCACCUUUUUAUUUGGUGCCUCAGUCAUCAAAAUAAAGUCGAAAUGAAAUGUAUCACACUGCAAAUGGAGUUAAGCAGAGUUGAUUAGUUUCAAUCCAAGUUCUGGGAUAUACUGUAGAUGACUUCAUCUUAACACAUGUUUAAGAAUAAAAGCAGACAUUAUAGAAGUUUAGACAUUAGGGGUCUGUUCAAAGGCUGCAUUUUCUUGUACUUUGUGUUUUUCAUUCUGAUUUGUGUGAAUUUUGAUGUUUCUUGUCAUGUGGCUAUACAAGUCCAUGGGCUUACUUGUGCCGAUGCAAUGUACAGAACAUGGGGAAGGACUCCUAGUUCUCCACUAUGAAGUUGGGCAAAAAUAUGAGCCUCAUUUUGACUACUUUUUGGACGAGUUCAAUACAAAGAAUGGGGGUCAACGCAUAGCAACUGUUCUUAUGUACCUGUAAGUGGGAGUGUUUUCUUUUCCAAUUUAUUUUAUUAUAUAAUUCCUCUUUUGUUCUUUCUGUACUAUUUUCUUUUUCACUAUUACAUGCAGCUCAGAUGUUGAAGAAGGGGGUGAGACAGUGUUUCCUGCAGCUAAGGGAAACAUUAGCUCUGUGCCAUGGUGGAAUGAGUUGUCUGAAUGUGGCAAACAGGGCCUUUCAGUGAAACCGAAAAUGGGUAAUGCAUUGCUGUUUUGGAGCACAAGUCCUGAUGCUACGGUAGAUCCUUCAAGUUUGCAUGGUUAGCAAUCACUCAUUAACAAACAGUUGACAGCUUAAACUAAGAUUCAAUAAUGAUUCUGCAGUUUUUCAAUGUUUCAGAAGAAAUGUCAGUCCUAGAUUAUGUUCUUAUGGCAGGACCAAAAAUUAUUUGCAAGUAAAAGAUUGUAGGACCAAAACGCUCUCUAACUUGGUAGCUCUUCUAAUAAUCCAGUUGCCUUAAAUUCGUUUUCUGCCUUGUCUUAGGUAGUUGUCCUGUGAUUAGAGGGAACAAAUGGUCAGCAACAAAGUGGAUGCAUCUUGGAGAAUACAAGGUCUGAUCCAUUAUUAGUAGAGGUAAUUCUCAGUGCCUGAAGGAGUAAUUCAUGGUAGAUGAAGUCAUUGUUUGUUAUAUUUUUUUUAUUUAAUAUUUGCUGUCUUAAUUUAGUUUAUUUUAAAUAAACACAAACUUCUCUUAGGUUGUUAGAAUUGGCAUUAGCAACCUGGCAGAAGAAUGCAUGUUUAGGGUGUUGAUGAAAUUUGAUGUGUUGCAGAGUGUUGAAUUUUUUAAUUAUUUUUAUAGAGGGUGUUGCAUUACAUGAAAAUUAAAAUGGUGGCAGUUAUUGGAAGUAAGAAUGCUAGUGCUAGUUGAACUAGUUAUUGUUAUCAUUAUUAUGUUUUUAAUCUUUUGCCUUCAGCAGGAUAGGAGGACAUGUAUCAUGUGGAUCAUUUGUGGUGAAUGGUGUUAAAAUUCCAGAUACAAGAGUCAAGAAUGGUGCAUCCCUGAUCCCUCAAACGUAGCAUAGAAAAAUAUUAUUACUUAGGCUUGAUGAUUUUAUUUUAUUUUUUGUAUUCCUCAUUUAAUGGGCCCUUUUUGGUCUUCUAACCGGGGAUUUAGGUUGGAAGUUGACCUUGAUUGGUCCUAAAAGAUAAGUUUUUGUACUUACAAAUUUAGUAGGGGAUAACAAAGGGAUAGCUGCAGCGGGCAAUGCAUCACUCCCAAUAGGCAAAUUGUAAACAAACAGAAUAAUUGCUGGAAUACAAGUCAUCUGAUUUUUCUUCAGUUUGGUUGCCUGCUUAUUUUUCAGUUGUUGGAACCUGGUUGCCUCUCCCAUUUCCGUUCUUGGGAAACAAUAGGUCCUAGACCACGUUUUGGUAUAUGUUUUGGGAAUAA